AGAGAUUUGAUAAAGUGCCGUAUCAAAGAGUACCACCACGAGACAAGAACACAGGGAUGAAGGUAGUGUGUUGGCAUGGAUAAAGGAUUGGUCAGUUAACAUAAACCAGAAAAUAUAGAUAAUUGGGUCCUUUUCAAGUUGUCAAGCUGUAAACUGAGUGCAACAAGAAUCAGAGCCAUCUUCCGAGGAAUUAUAUUAGUGAUGUCUAUAUCACUGUUUUGUAAAGAAUAAUAAUGUGAAUGAUGGAGCAAACUUGACAGCAAGUGGCAGAGUAGAGGCAUUAUGGACGGCACGCCAUGUAACCCUGAUGGGAGAUCCAGAAGAAAUUCAGGGAUAUAGAAGGAACAGAAAGAGAAAUGAAACUCUUAAUACAUACAGGCCACAAAGGAGCACAAGCAAUGGCCUGAGGACCAUCACAUUUGAGUACUGAAACAGAAACAGCACAGAUUUCAAUACUAAGUUAAGGAAGAAACCUCUGGUGAGGCACAAGUACUGAUGAGGAUGCUGGUAUUUAACAGUAACCUAGUGAUCUCAGGAUAUUAGUGAGCACCCUGCUUGCUGCUGCUAAUUUGCAGCAAAUUACAGACUUUUCUGCACCAAUCCUAAUUCAACAUGGCACCCGUAUUGAGUCUUGUGCCUCCUUUCACAAACAGUGGGAGGUGACCUCUGAUGGUGCCAAUGCCCAUAUUUACACUGACGCGGUGGAACAGUUCUUUGCUGAGCACUUUGCCAUGUAGUGACAUCAACAGCAUCUGCAACAAUGACCCAGUUCCCCAGCACAGCAAGAAUACUUCUAGUGAAAACCUCUGCUGCACAUUGAGAAUUUGUGUCUAAUUAUGGUGACAAAGUCAUGAUGGACUUCUAAAGGAAACAAGGCCAUCGUGACUCCUGCAAAGAUGGAUGGACUCCGCAGCAGAGGUGCUUUAGUUUUAACCACAAACACUGGUCUCUGUAAUUGUGUGUCUCAUGUAGCCACUCCUGCUAUUCCUUUAAUGAAGCAAAAUAGAUGGCAGUACAGUACAUCAAAAACUAACAUUGAAACAUUCUUGGAUUGUAAUGAGAAAACAAUGGAAAAAAUAUAUUGAACAUGCACUAAAGCACAAAAUAAAAAUAAAUUUA